rnacentral:rRNA from 1 species
ACGCUCGACACCUACGGAAGGCAGCAGUGGGGAAUAUUGCACAAUGGGGGAAACCCUGAUGCAGCGACGCCGCGUGAAGGAAGAAGUAUUUCGGUAUGUAAACUUCUAUCAGCAGGGAAGAAAAUGACGGUACCUGAGUAAGAAGCACCGGCUAAAUACGUGCCAGCAGCCGCGGUAAUCUGAGCGGGCUGGCAAGGC